AGAACGAACGCUGGCGGCAGGCUUAACACAUGCAAGUCGAACGGUUGUAGCAAUACAGCAGUGGCAGACGGGUGAGUAACACGUGGGAACCUUCCUAGGGGUACGGAACAACUCAGGGAAACUUGAGCUAAUACCGUAUACGUCCGUGAGGAGAAAGAUUUAUCGCCCCUAGACGGGCCCGCGUAGGAUUAGGUAGUUGGUGAGGUAACGGCUCACCAAGCCUACGAUCCUUAGCUGAUCUGAGAGGAUGAUCAGCCACACUGGGACUGGGACACGGCCCAGACUCCUACGGGAGGCAGCAGUGGGGAAUCUUGGACAAUGGGCGCAAGCCUGAUCCAGCCAUGCCGCGUGAGUGAAGAAGGCCUUCGGGUUGUAAAGCUCUUUACCAGGGACGAUAAUGACGGUACCUGGAGAAUAAGCCCGGCAAACUUCGUGCCAGCAGCCGC
rnacentral:rRNA from 1 species